rfam:Laccaria amethystina LaAM-08-1 unplaced genomic scaffold K443scaffold_213, whole genome shotgun sequence.
UCCUUCUUAGCUCAGUUGGUAGAGCGCGUCACUAGUAAUGACGAGGUCAGUCGUUCAAGUCGGCUAGAAGGAA